rnacentral:rRNA from 1 species
GACGAACGCUGGCGGCGUGCUUAACACAUGCAAGUCGAACGGAAAGGCCCCUUUGGGGGUACUCGAGUGGCGAACGGGUGCGUAACACGUGAGUAACCUGCCCUUGACUUCGGGAUAACUUCAGGAAACUGGGGCUAAUACCGGAUAGGAAUCCUUGCUGCAUGGUGGGGGUUGGAAAGCUUCGGCGGGUUUGGAUGGACUCGCGGCUUAUCAGCUUGUUGGUGGGGUAGUGGCUUACCAAGGCUUUGACGGGUAGCCGGCCUGAGAGGGCGACCGGCCACAUUGGGACUGAGAUACGGCCCAGACUCCUACGGGAGGCAGCAGUGGGGAAUAUUGCACAAUGGGCGGAAGCCUGAUGCAGCAACGCCGCGUGCGGGAUGACGGCCUUCGGGUUGUAAACCGCUUUCAGCAGGGGCGAAGCUUUUGUGACGGUACCUGCAGAAGAAGCACCGGCUAACUACGUG